GCGGGCCGGACCCCACUGGCUUUACUCUGCGAAAAUGCGGUGGAAAAAGGCAACGCUGCAGUUCCAGGUGGCUUGGGGGCGUGGCCGGUGUUCCCCGAAAAGGAGUCGCUAGCCAAUUUGAGACCCCGGUUCCCCUGUCAGCCUCACACAGGGACGCACGUAGGGCCGCCGGAAAGCCGUCAGGUAGUCGGCUGACGAGUUUGGAAGCUCCUCAGAUUCGCCUCUUGUGAAGUCCGAGGGUGGUUAUAAACCCCAACUGUCACGACAAGUUUGUUUUUCCGACAAGAUUCCGACUCCGCCAGGCUGUAAACAAUGACUUUGCCUUAGAAGUGGCAGUUGCCUAGGAAGAACUUGGAAAAGCCGUUUGAGUUGAACUGCCAAGUCCGAGCGUUUGAAGCUCCUCAGAAGUUUACUUGAACUGUGGCCCAAACUGUAUCUUUUCCACAAGGGCUGGACAUGUUUCAGGAAUCUGGUGCUUCCUUGGAGAAUGUUUUCCUCGGCCUGAACUGGAAGCUGCUCUCCAUAUUCUGCAUUUCUUGUUCUCAUCCGUUGAAACUGACCUUGUCCCAGUCCCUGAGAGCCCACCGUGUGUGAAGCAAGCCCACCGUGGCGCAGUAGUCAAGGCCACACUCACUCUGCCCCUUCUGAUGCCAACUCGACGUCUCAUCAGGAAGUUCGCCGGGCGUUUUGGAACCUGAGGCCUCCGUUCUGUGUCUGCUCUGCAUUUCCUUCUUAAGCACCUACUAUUGGAUCUGUGCCACAACACCCUGUACACCACCUCAGGGAGAGGACUCACAUUUUCAAUUUACCUAGUAGAUGUUUUUUGAUCUAUCUCCCCCAUGAGGCUGGCAAACCUUAGGCCAGAAACAUUGUUGUUCCUUUGUCGGCACAGUCCCUGGCACUUAGAAGUAUGGUUGUGGAAAGAAGUUCCUUCAGUAGUCAGGAAGGAAAGCGUCUUCAUCGUGUGGAUUGUUUCCUUGACUGUGGAGAACAGGGAAUCAAAAGGUAAUGUCCAGGAAGAGAGUGGAACAGGGUGGAGAGACCCAUCGUGGGACAGAUUUAUGGUCCCUUCAUCCACUGAAGAUGUUAUUUACGAGAGACAUGCAGUCAGGUCAGUGAAGAGUACAGAGAAUGCAUGACUCUGGACUUGACUCUAAACCUCAUCAUUAACUAUGGCACAAAUCAUGUUUCCCAUCCAAGCACACAGUAACUUAAUGCUGGAUCUCAAGAGGUGUGCAAUUAAGUCAUACCAGCACUAGUCAGAAGUUUUAAAUUAAACAGACAUGAUGUAUAUUAAUGGCCUAAUGUGACAUCAAAAGAGCAGUUUGGGAUUAUUUUCUUUCUUUCUCCAAACGGGCUUUGAUCUGGCUCUCUCUCAUAUUGCCAGGAUUAGUAUGAUGUCUAGAGGCUCAGUGUUAGAAAUGGGUUGCCACUUAAGGACUCGCUGUGCGGCUGCAGCUGCCACUUACUAAAUUCAAUUUCCUGCAUAAAGACAGGACCAUCAUCAGUUCUGCUUGAAACAAAGCAAAGCACACUCGGGAAGGCUUAGGAUAUUGUACUAAAAAAUAACAUAAAGAGUGUGUUUCUAUUAUUUUAUUUUAUGACUCUGCUGUUUUUCAACUAUUUUAACAUAGAAGAAAUAAAAAAGAAUUGAAAUUAACCUGUAUAAAAUAU
rnacentral:lncRNA from 1 species